UCACUACUUACGUAGGCAGUUUCUUUAGAGUCCCCAACUUAAUGCUGGCAACUAAGGACAGGGGUUGCUCUCGUUGCGCCACUUAAGGCAACACCUCACGGCACGAGCUGGCGACAGCCAUGCACCACCUGUGCGGGCUCCGAAGAGCGCCGUGUUUCCACGGUUUCACCCCGCAUGUCAAGCCCUGGUAAGGUUCUUCGCGUUGCGUCGAAUUAAACCACAUGCUCCGCUGCUUGUGCGGGCCCCCGUCAAUUCCUUUGAGUUUUAGCCUUGCGGCCGUACUCCCCAGGCGGGGUGCUUAAUGCGUUAGCUUCGGCACGAGCGGAGUCGACACCGCUCACACCUAGCACCCAUCGUUUACGGCGUGGACUAC
rnacentral:misc_RNA from 1 species